UACGAAGGGGGCUAGCGUUGUUCGGAAUUACUGGGCGUAAAGCGCACGUAGGCGGAUACUUAAGUUAGGGGUGAAAUCCCAGAGCUCAACUCUGGAACUGCCUUUAAUACUGGGUAUCUCGAGUCCGAGAGAGGUGAGUGGAAUUCCGAGUGUAGAGGUGAAAUUCGUAGAUAUUCGGAGGAACACCAGUGGCGAAGGCGGCUCACUGGCCCGGUACUGACGCUGAGGUGCGAAAGCGUGGGGAGCAAACAGG
rnacentral:rRNA from 1 species